CCAACCUUGCGACAUUAAAAGGACAAAUACACAAUGAAGUGGCAACUGCAGACAAGAAUGUGAUUUGAAAAGUUUUUUUCUUCUUCUUUCCAAAAACUGGCCUUAUAUACUACCUCGGUGUGAUCAGAUUCUUCAACCACUAAACACACAAAAUCUGUUGAUUCUUCUGCGUGCUUCAAGUGCAACUGUGAAAGGUCAGCUG